GACGAACGCUGGCGGCACGCUUAACACAUGCAAGUCGAACGAGAGAAGAGAAGCUUGCUUUUCUGAUCUAGUGGCGGACGGGUGAGUAACACGUGAGCAAUCUGCCUUUCAGAGGGGGAUACCGAUUGGAAACGAUCGUUAAUACCGCAUAACAUAAUUGAACCGCAUGAUUUGAUUAUCAAAGAUUUAUCGCUGAAAGAUGAGCUCGCGUCUGAUUAGCUAGUUGGUAAGGUAACGGCUUACCAAGGCGACGAUCAGUAGCCGGACUGAGAGGUUGAUCGGCCACAUUGGGACUGAGACACGGCCCAGACUCCUACGGGAGACAGCAGUGGGGAAUAUUGCACAAUGGAGGAAACUCUGAUGCAGCGAUGCCGCGUGAGGGAAGAAGGUUUUAGGAUUGUAAACCUCUGUCUUCAGGGACGAAAAAAGACGGUACCUGAGGAGGAAGCUCCGGCUAACUACGUG
rnacentral:rRNA from 1 species